rnacentral:rRNA from 1 species
AACGAACGCUGGCGGCGCGUUUUAAGCAUGCAAGUCGGACGGCAAGCACUGUAGCAAUAUGGUGCCUAGAGUGGCGAACGGGUGAGUAACACGUAGGUGAUCUACCUCUGGAUGGGGGAUAGCCCGUGGAAACACGGGGUAAUACCGCAUGAGGCCUUGUGGGUGAAGCCAUGAGGUGAAAGCUCCAAUUGGAGCGUCUGGGGAUGAGCCUGCGGCCCAUUAGGCAGUUGGCGGGGUAAUGGCCCACCAAACCGACGAUGGGUAGCCGGCCUGAGAGGGUGUACGGCCACACUGGAACUGAGACACGGUCCAGACUCCUACGGGAGGCUG